rnacentral:lncRNA from 1 species
GUUUCUUUCAGUUUUACUGGCUAUCUUUUGAGAGAGGAAACAUGAAGUGGCAUGAAGUAUCCACUUAUAUUAUUGAGUAGGAUAAUCAAAAGAGAUUAAAGAAUGGUUAUGAAUUUUAACAUUACUGUAUAAUGCAUUUGGACAAUAGCCCAACAUUAGUAUUAUUUCCUCAAAUAAUAAGGGUCUUAUCUUAUUCUAUUUGAUUCCAUAUCAAAUAAAACAUCUUCACUGUACUACAGGGCACUUUCUGCACAGUACUGAAGUGAUUUGCAGAUCCAAGAAGAUUUGGUGACUUGUUACCCUGAGAUGUUAAACUCGGCCUCAGAAGUCACUAGGUAUUUUAGGACUUCCUCACUACUUAAAGGUGUAUAAGCAGGUUACAUGCAUAUCAGGUACAGGAAGAAAUAUUUUAAUAAAGAAAAAUAUUCAAGAAGAAGUUAAAGUUCAUGACUGAUUUCCUUGAGGGGAAAAUAAGUUAUAUUUCCCUGGAGUUUUUCCAACAUUGUAGAUAAGGCAGGGAAGUUAUAGAGAGAAAAACACAAGUUCAUUGAAUUACUGGACAUAUAAGAUCCUAUUAAAGCUUAUGAUUCUGUAAGACUAGAUGCUUACCAUAAUCAUAUUUCCUUUUAGAAGUUCUGCAUCAUAUUUUCUUCUUUUUGUCAUGAAAUUUCACCACUGUGUAAAUAUUCUCUUUAGUCAUUUCUGGAGAGCAGAGAAACAUAAUAAGAUAUGGGAAAGUGGAACUUCCUUCACAAUGAUUCAAGAAAAAAGUCAUUAUAAUUCAUACAUCCCACACAACACGUUGUUGGUAACAAAAAGCAUAUUGGAGUAGAUUUUCUUUUUCACUUACAGGAAUUCCUUUGAAAGCCCUUUCUAAGUCAAGUUGGCGUUUCCCACCAUCUGUGGUCUUCUAUAGGCCUGAGCAAUUCUGUUGUGUU